UACGGAGGGGGCGAGCGUUAUUCGGAAUUAUUGGGCGUAAAGGGCGCGUAGGCGGAUCUUUAAGUCAGGGGUGAAAUCCCAAGGCUCAACCUUGGAACUGCCUUUGAUACUGGGGAUCUCGAGUCCGGAAGAGGUUGGUGGAACUGCGAGUGUAGAGGUGAAAUUCGUAGAUAUUCGCAAGAACACCAGUGGCGAAGGCGGCCAACUGGUCCGGUACUGACGCUGAGGUGCGAAAGCGUGGGGAGCAAACAGG
rnacentral:rRNA from 1 species